UGGCUCAGAUCGAUCUCUUCCCAAAAACCAAACCAACGCGGGUCGAAGUAGAAAACUCAGACGAACUGUACGCUCUCCACUUCGAUACAACCAAAGUCGUCUCUGGUUCUCCAUCUCGUCUCCACCCAAAACACUGGUCUUCUCGUCUCCAAUUAAAUACUAGAAACUCAUCUCAGGUUGCACGAUUGUUGCAACCGAAGCUUUCUUUUUUCCUUUCUCUCAUGAAAAUUGUAGCUCUCUUAUGGUCAGUAAUCCCUUGGAGUUUUCGCGCCAAAAGUUGGAGACUUGGAAGCAGAGAAACACAUCUAGAGUGACUCCUGAUGCACAUUUCGAAAAAGAUUUGGGCUUAGAUAGCUUGGAUAAUGGGAGAUUGUAAUGGCUCUAGAAGAAGAGUUCAAGCUUAUUUAAACAUAUUUGCAAACAUCUUUGAUUAAUCCAAAAGGAGGAAGCUCUAAAAGUUCGUGCGUCUAAAGCUAGUGAAGUGGGUGAAAGAGAGAAGGAAAUAGAAGCUGAGGUUGCAGAGCUUGAAAGACAAAGGGAUGAUCUUGAGGCUCAAUUGAAAAAGGUUUUCUCUGGUUUUUUCUCUAUGAUUUCCUAAAUGCGUACCUACUUAGAUUUUUUGUUUAGUUGUAUUUUGCCCUAUUCCUAUACUCUGGUUUCCUCUGAUGAGCAUAUUCUUAUUUGCCCCUGGUUUUCUUGUUUGUUCCUAUAUUCUGGUUCUAUUGAUUUAAGCAGUUUAAAAAGAUAUGUAUAUGAGAAUCAUAUAUGCAUCAGACGAAAAAAAAAAAUGUUGUUAUAUAAUUCUCAUAUACAUAAAUACAUUUCCUCAUGUGAGGCAGAAUCAUAUAUGCUUCCGAUGAGAAUCAUAUAAGCAUCUUGAUCAAGUUCGAGAAUCACAGACAUUGAUUCCUUGAUCCAGGCAAUAGAUGACUUUAUCUGAGAGUCUAGUUGAAGGAUGUUGUUUGACUUUAUUAAAAGAACUUUUGAAAAAAUAGUUCCUGGGUUGGUUUCCAUGCUGUUAAAGUACAUCUAUUAGUUACAAGCCUUGACACUAUCAGUUAGUUACCUGCUAGCUUGUCGUUAAUCCCUCGAAUUCGCAGUUGAAUGUGCAUUAGCCUUAUG